rnacentral:rRNA from 1 species
ACGCUCGACACCUACGGGAGCAGCAGUGGGGAAUAUUGCACAAUGGGGGAAACCCUGAUGCAGCGACGCCGCGUGGAGGAAGAAGGUCUUCGGAUUGUAAACUCCUGUUGUUGGGGAAAAAGAGGAUGGUACCCAACAAGGAAGUGACGGCUAACUACGUGCCAGCAGCCGCGGUAAUCUGAGGCGGGCGUGGACGAAGGC